rnacentral:misc_RNA from 1 species
GAAAUGCGAUAAGUAAUGUGAAUUGCAGAACUCAGUGAAUCAUCGAAUCUUUGAACGCACAUUGCGCCCGCCAGCACUCUGGCGGGCAUGCCUGUUCGAGCGUCAUUUCAACCCUCAGAACCCCUUGCGGGAUCUGGCGUUGGGGAUUGGCAUCCAGCCAGCCCCGAAAUCUAGUGGCGGUCCCUCCGCGACCUCCCCUGUGCAGUAGCGAUACCUCGCAGCGGGACAGCGGUCUGACCACGCCGUAAAACCCCCAACUUCUCAAGGUUGACCUCGAAUCAGGUAGGAAUACGCGCUGAACUUAAGC